rnacentral:tRNA from 1 species
GGGCCUGUAGAUUAGUCGAAGAUCACUCAAUAAUCUAUUUCAAAUUCUGGAUUUAUUGACUCGCAUUCAAGAGGCCGCGGGUUCAAUUCCCGCCAGGUCCA